CGUGUCAAAACYGGACGCAGAAGGAACCUGCCCAAGUGUCAAUAUGUGACGAGCUGGGACGGAGAACGCAUUGGUUUAACAGCUAAAAAAAGCUUGGGAGCUGCUGAAGCUGAUAAACAGAUGAGCACAUGUCCCCCCACCCACCACCACCACCACCACUUUCCCUUCACUCUGCCCUGCCAGCAGGCUGCCAGCACAAACAGGAGAUUGAGAUGCGACUGACAAUGAGGCAGCUGGUUCUUCUUUGGCCUUAAUCAUUCCCAGAAAACCGACCGUGGUUUGAUUUGGUUCUUUACAGCCCAACCUUAUUUUUCACAUCAAUGACUUGCUUGCGUGCYCUUUCAAGCCCUCCCCCUUACACUUUAGAUGAAAUUCGCACCAUAUGCCUUUUGAAGGGAGCUGAACCGACCGGCGAGCAUGCUUCUCUUUAACUCCCGUUCUCUGCACAAGUGGUUUGAUCAGGUCCCAGACCUGAUGAGGGCAAGCGCUCCAAUCCCGAGUCAGUAUUAUGUUCCCAAAAUUGCCUGACUGGAGAUAAUGAAGGCUUAUGAUUUCUUUUUUUUCUUCUUUCUUCAGAGUAAGGAUUACAUUCAGAAGGAGGAGAAGAAUGGGAUUUGACUGAGGAUGUUCUUACUAGACCGYUUCUACCAAAUCAAGCUCUAGAAAUAGAAAUAGGCAUCUAUGGGCAUCAAAGGRGAGUCCAAGUACAUCUAAUCACCUCAACUUUCUGAUUCUCUCUAACUACUGCAUCCAAUAGGAUUAAAAGAGUUUUAUUUCACCUUAAAUUACCACUGCCUGCACCAAGCUGUGUAAUCCAUAUUGAAGGAGCUCUGGGAAGAGUUUGGCUGAAUGUAAAAUAAGAGAGGAAGGCGGUGGGCUGAUUGCUGAAAUGAAUGCCGCGUUGCCCCCGUGUCUUUGCCCCGAUGAAAUCCUUCCCUCGUUCAGAUGGGGAGCUAAUCAAUGUCCUUAUCAACUGUCUCAUCAAGACGACGGGGCAAAUUAGCCUCUGGCAUUUCACAGUGACACACGAUUUGGGCAAUCAGGGAGAAAUCAACAUCCAAGAAACGAGGGCAUCCUUUUGGAAAAAACGUUGAGGAGAGCAGUUAACUGUGGCCUGCAACAGAAACCGAUGGAAAUGACGAUAAAGGAUCAACAAAUCACAUCCUCCGAAACCACAACGUUAAUGAAAGAUGCCUUAAAACCUCGAUCCUCCGCACUUGACAAGUGGUGCAGGAGGGAGAAAAGAAGCAGAUGCAUUUUGAGGGGCUUGCAAAGAUUAUUAUGACAGGCGCAAUAUUAAAACUGCAGACAGCUGACCCAAACUCCAGACUAUCUGGAUACAUCAUCUGCACGCUCAAACGUUAGGCCACUGUCUCGAUGCUCCGUGCUGCCUUUGCACGAGUCCGUCAAAAACCAAUAAAGCAAUUAACAGAAAAAUCAAUGACAAAAGCUGCA